UAACAAUCUUAACAUGGUUGAACCAGUCAACACGAGCAAUAAGGUCAGUAUCUAGCUCAGAGUACUUAAAUGUGUCCACAGAAAUGUUAUCUUUUCUGAUUGACAUUUGGAUAGUGUGGUUGGGCUUAUGGUCCAGCAAGAACUUUAGAUUAGGAUCUAGAGGGAUAUCUAGAUUCUGCAAGGGAUCCACCAUCUCAAUAGCACUUUCGAUGAUGUCUGUGUACACCUGGUAUAGCGUAACGUCACCGAUGGUGAUACGAGAGUCGUGGGGUACCUUGAUCAAUGCAAUUACUUUAUUAGUCACCUGGUUCCUGCGAAAAACACUCAUGUUUUUAAGACACGUGCUUACCAACCAUUUAUCUUUUACUAAGAUAGCAUGUACUAACGCAUUACUGUCGGUUUUUGACAUAAUUACUUGACAUGUUUCAGAGCCACGUUUAAGGUACUCGAUCCCACACAAAACAUUGGUAGAAUCGUACACAAAAGGUUUUCCAUCACAUUGGAAAUUAUUGUCUUUGAAUUUCUCACAGUCAUUCAAAAUGGGUAAUGAAUACCAAUCUGGUAUCCACGGUUGAAAAGCCAAAACAUCUGGGGUUUGGACUUUUACGUGCAUCGCAUGAACAAUAUCCUUGGAUACAAAAUACAGAGGUAUGCGUCUCCCUGCCAAUUCAAUCAUUCCAGUUUGCACUUCGUCAAGAAAAGCAAGUGUGUGGAACAAUAUUGGGUCAUGCAGAAAUAGAAGAUCACGCUUAAAUAAGUCAUGACUUUGGUGCAACUCAGUGGAUUUGGCAAUUAACUCAGAAUGCAAAUUUGUUGUAACAACUGUGUCUUCCACAAUAGUUAACACGUCUUGGAGAAGGGUUCUUUGCUGGUUUAUCACCUGAUGAAUAUCGUUAAUGUGUUGCUUUAGCGCAUAGAUUUCCAUAUCCAGCUUUUGGACAGUAAUAGAGUUGGCUGCAGACAUUCCAGUUGCGACAACUGCACUGACAGUGGCACAAACAAAUGCAACAAUUAUAGCGGCGAGGAACCUUUUGGGUCGGUUGCUCAUCCGAAUAGAACUGGAUACAAAUGGUUUCCGGGCUUGCUCCAAGAUGUUUCGCACAUGGUCCUGUGCUCUUUGAAGGUGCAUCUGGUACCAAGUCUGUAACUCAGGAAGUUGCAUCGAUGAAAUGUUGUAUGCCUUCUCAAUGGAAAUCUUGGGGUCCAAGCUGACGAACACACGUCGGGUCAGGAUCCUCUUCUCUGUCAAGAUGAACCCUGGUGUCUCUUGAAUCAGGAUGCCGGAGGAUGGUCCCAUCUCUGCGAUCGGGUCGGUCCGUAGCUCUUGGCACAGGAGCAGUACGAUCCAGAAACACGCCACUUCCUUCUUGGACAUCUUUCGACAGUCACGAAUUAGGAACUCGUUUCAGACUUAUCUACUAAUGAUUCAAGGUUUGUUAAGCAUACAAACUUAUAACAGUGUGAC